GUUACUGUAAUCGUCGAAAUCACAAGCAUCCAGCAUUAAUGAUCUUCCUCCCGUUGAUUUUUGCUUCAUGUCUAUUGGUUCAUUCUCGCCUUUCAACAGCUGAACAGCCUGUAUAGUCCAAGAAUUUACAGGCAUUCGGGUAAAUCUCAUCUUGUACUCAUAGAUGGUUGUUUUGCAUGCAUUCAGUAACAUCAUGCACCAAAUCAUAUUGUUUGCAUAAUGCUAGAGCUAUUAGAUAUGAAGUUGAAAUCAAUUAAAGUGAGGUUUCGUUUCACAUCCUCGGUAGUAUUUCUAGUCAUUUCAAGUUUGGACAAUAGGAUGAGUAAUUCUAGUUGUCUAAGGAUUUCCAAACUGAUUGUCUAAGGACAAUAGGAUAUGGUUUUCAACUUGCAAACAACGUGUAAAAGAUAAAGACAUACCCGUUUCAUGUUGGGACGCAUGUUUGGCAAAUGAUGAAUGCAUGUAGAAGCUGUAAACAUAGCUCUUUUCAUCUCAACAAUGUCGUAGGCAUCGCCUAGACGAGGAUCUGCUAAUUCCUUGAUAUUGUUCUUUUCCAGCAUUGGUUUUGCCUAUGCAAAAUAGCAGCAGAUAUGAAUAUUUCUUCAGAAAUUCAAAAUCUAGAGGCAAAUCCAAGAUUCAGAAUCUAUGAGUUCAAAAUGAGGUAAUCUUCUUAUAUGUAUACGCUUUAAACUUUUUUGGCAUAUGUAUAUAUUUUUCGAGUCAAAAAGUAAUGAGUUUAGUUGUACCCCUGCAUCAAAACAAGUUCGUCCAAAGAAUGUGUCAAUUUAACAAGACCAUACCCACAUCACAAGACUCUGUCUGGAUGAAUCAACAGCACGACGACCAGUAAUAAGUUCCAAUAGCAGAACUCCAAAGGCAAAAACAUCGGUCUUCUCAUGAACAAUUCCAUGCAUAAAGUACUCUGGUGCCAUAUAUCUGAGAACCAAUUAUGUCAUAUUUUCAUCAGACCAACAAUUUGUAAUGAAUGAUUGAAUGAACCCAUUUAAAAUGCAGUUGUGCUGAACUUUACAUACCCAAAAGUUCCUUCAAUAGGGGAAACAAUAUGAUGAGCCCAUUUUUCUGGCAACCACUUUGCAAGUCCGAAAUCAGAUAUCUGCAACAAUAUGAAAUUAUUCAUUACACGCGAGUGAGUUGAAAUUGUUCAUUACAAGGUUUUUAAAGAAAAAACAAGAAUGAAAACCUGAGGUUCAUAAUCUUCAGUAAGUAGAAUGUUAGAGGCUGUAAUAUCUCUAUGGAUUAUGCGCCUUUGGCAAUCAGAAUGAAGAUAACGCAAUCCUUCAGCUACUCCAACUGCCACUUUAUAUCUUAUUUUCCAUUCAAGACACUCUUCUCUACCUGAAAAAUGCUGAGUUCUUCAUUUAUCAGUCAAACAACACCAACAUCCCAAUUCACCUCAUUACAUUUUAUACUUCAUUAAAUGAUACAUGUCCUAGUAAUAAAGCAUUAGACUAGAGAUCAAUAUCAAACAACCAUAGUUUAUUAUUCCCGUGAACUGUGUGACCACCUCAUCAAAAACCUAAAAAUGUUUGAAAGAAUACACUUUUUAUUGCUUAACUGGUAAAGUUGUUGUCAUGUGACCAGGAGGUCACGGGUUCGAGCCGUGGAAACAGCCUCUUGCAGAAAUGCAAGGUAUGAUUGCGUUCAAUACACCCCUGUGGUCUGGUCUUUCCCGGACCCCGCACAUUGCGGGAGCUUAGUGCACCAGGCUACCCUUUAAUUACAUUGUGUCUCGACACGCUGCCCUUGAUUCUUUUUCAUGAGCCAACUAUUAGGAAAUAUAUUUUAUUUUUUGUAACGGUGAUUUGAAUGACGACCUCUACUCUGAUACUAUAUUUAAUUGUUUGACCACCUCAUCUAAAAGUUUAAGCUUUUAGAGUGAUAUUAUCCAAUCCAAAACUUGAAGGCGGCUUGAAGUGGCCUCGUACAUUAUGAUGAGGGACUGGUGUAUUUUCUAACAAUUUCAAGAGAAUUAUUCAGCAACAAAGUUGAGGCUUGAGAGAGAGAAAUACAGCACCGUGUAGUACAGAAGCAAGGCUGCCAUGUUGCAAGUAUUGAAGAACAAGGUGCAAACCACCAUCAACACUGAAACCAAUUAACUUAACAGCAUUAGGAUUGUUGAUAUGAGCAAUGAUUCCUAGCUCAGAUAAGAAGUCUCCAACUCUGUCCUCAUCAUUCUUUUCUUUCUUUGUUAUUUUCUUGACUGCUACAACUUGUCCAUCAGGUAAAUGUCCUUUGUACACUUCUGCAUGUCCUCCUUUGCCAAUCAAGUUAUCUGUCACAUUUCCAAGGUAUAAAAUCAGUAGAAUAUUUAGCAUAAACUACGUGCAAAGUUAUUUGAUGUUGGCACUUCUAUUUUCAAGUAAGCGUGCACAUUAUGCAAUCUAAUUAUAAGACUAUACUCCCUUUGUUUUAAUUUAUGUGAACCUAUUUUAUUUUUAGUCUAUGCCAAAAAGAAUGACCUUUUUUCCAUUUGGAANCAAUUUACCUUUAUGCAAUGAUUUAUAGUCACACAAAAUAUAUGUGCCUCAUUUUACACCACAAGUUUAAAAGCCUUAUCUUUUUUUUUAACUCUGUGUCCAGUCAAAUGGGUUCACAUAAAUUGAAAUGGAGGGAGUAAUACAUUUCCUUGAAAGCAACAUAUUUUAGGUAAAAUUGUGAGAUUCUUGAAAAAACUUUCUUUUUGUAUCCGGACCAACUUAAUUAUUUCACUGGGUAUCUCACAACAUUAUUGGGUUAAAAUGAGGAUAAAGAUCAAUUUUAGCCCGCGGGCGAAAUUAUUUAUAUUUGGUAGCUGCAAAAGUGUAUAAAAUUUAUGUAUUUUCUUGUAUAUAACAUACAGAAAUAUAUACAUAUCCAAAAAAUAUAUAAAAAAUUAUACAUUUUUCAUCUAUUAUUUCGAGAGCGGCUAUAUAGUGCCAUUUUUCCUAAAAAUGACUACGAAGAUUCACAUAGAUAGAUAGAAAUCACCUAGCAUUUUUUAUCAUGGUUGGAAUUUGAAUCAAGUUUUCUAUAUUUUCAUCCCUUAGGAGCUUGUGGAAUUCUUGGACAAUUGGACCAUUCAUUUAUUUUUUUUCUUUUUGAGUCAAUAAUAAUGGCAAGAAGCUGCAGGCAUGUGCAGAUGAGUACACUUGCAGCUGCUCAGCUGCAUCAACAUGGCCUUGGAGCAGAAAUUUCAAACUUGAGGGGACAAAUUGAAACAUCAAGGCCCAUAGACAGUAAUAGAAAAAUUAAAUACUCCCUUUUGUUUCAAUUUAGAUAAUACAAUUUCAUUGUUGGCAAUGACACAUUUCUACAAUUGAAUAAUUUAAUUCUAAAUUCUUUAUUUUUCUCAUUUUACUCUUAAUGAGAAGCUUUU
rnacentral:lncRNA from 1 species